CCCCCCCCCCCGCUGCCCUUCCCAUACUACCCAACCACAUUCCUCUAUCUGUCACGCGCCAUCAACUCUCACAGCCUCAUCUCCAGUAAUGGCUUCCAGAAGUUCCAGGAUCACUUUCUCAUCAUGUUAUCUCUCUUUCUCUUCCUCUCCCAGCCACACAGUGGGAUUUACUAGCAGUGAAAGGAUAGGGUGUGGUUGGUGUUCUCACUGUAAGUGAUAUUAGCAAUGAUUGCCCUAAGUGCUCACAGCUGCGGGAGGAAGAAGCUAGCUCGAGCGUCACUGAAUGUCUUGAUAUCUACCUCAGGGCUCGGUGGAAGGACAUUUUGCAGACCCUCUGUAUCUGUCCAGUUUUGCAGUUGGUCUUCCAAGUGCACUCAUUGCUUGCUAAUGGUCUUAGCGUAAUAGGUAUUUAGGCUAGUGAUGCCCAAACCAGUCAAUAGGUCUGUAUUGAUUGCAGCCUGUUGUCAGUGCAUCAGUCACCGAAGACAGUUGCAAGCAGUAGACCAGAGGUAGCACCACACAGCACAUGGGGCGUUUCAUAGCCCUGAGGUAAGGCAUGUGCGUAGAGCUGCUGAGUCCUGGAGAAGUCUACAGUUAAUGGUGUGGCUCAGAGUGCUGGCUCAGACAUGGACAGUCGCAGGAGGGGGGUGUGAAUGUCGCAAUGUGAUCGGAAUCCCAAGCGUUUUGGGGUGCGAUCCAGACGUGCUGUCUCUCUGAAGGCACAGCACGGCCUGUUCUCUCAUAGUGCCCUGAUUUACGACAGUAGGCUCAGCUAAAGAGUUGUGUUGAGUUUGGGUAAAGCCUGGAAUGAUGGUAGGGUUUGCAAUCGAAUGUAAAUCCCUGAAUUUAAUAGCUUGAACGAGGCCUCAUUUGGCUAACAAUUUUGAAUUUCUGACAUUCCCUCCUUUUGGUUCUUGUCACACUAGACUGUAGUACUGAUAUUCUAAAGGUUAAGAAAAAAAGUUGAUCUUAAAAUGCCAUAUUAGUAGCUCCUUUUUCCAUGAGAACUAAUGCGAGGUUAAGAUGGAAACCAUCAACCCCAGACCUGACACACCCUUCUGCCCACUGUCACCCACUUGAAGUCUUUUUUUCCCCUUUUAGGUAAGAACAUUCAUCAUCUUUGUCAGCUUCACUCAUCUGAGGGGUUAAGUUUCUCCACUCGCCAUAGUAAUCUGAUGAGGCUUAAAUUGAGAGUGGCUCAAGUGUCUUUCCAGCUGUUUCCUGCCAUUUGCAGUUUGAUGGACAGUUUGGAGUAGCUGAGCAAAAUCCGCCCCUCGACAGGAAGUGAUUGGAUCUCCUCGUGAUUGCUCUGGCGAUAGAUUCCACACACUGGAGCACAGCACAGCAAAGCUGCACUCACUUAAGGCUUUGGCAGGCAUGUUUUUAACCGAAAGUGUGUUCGGCCGCCCCCAAGUCUUGGUGAACACGGGGAGAGAGGGUGCCAGAUAUGUUCCAGUUUGGCAAGGUCUCAGCACGUCACUUACCACAGCCAUGCAUCAUGGCGAAAUAAAGAGAUGGGCUUUAACACUGAAUGACAGUCAUGUGCAGUUCCCUUCCUCUAAACUCACCAUAGUCCUGCCACUUUUUAAUUUAUGGCC